rnacentral:rRNA from 1 species
UGCCUAACACAUGCAAGUCGAACGUGGAUCUUCGGAUCUAGUGGCGCACGGGUGCGUAACGCGUGGGACUCUGCCCUUGGGUUCGGAAUAGCAGUUAGAAAUGACUGCUAAUACCGGAUGAAGUCUACGGACCAAAGAUUUAUCGCCCAGGGAUGAGCCCGCGUAGGAUUAGCUAGUUGGUGGGGUAAAGGCCUACCAAGGCGACGAUCCUUAGCUGGUCUGAGAGGAUGAUCAGCCACACUGGGACUGAGACACGGCCCAGACUCCUACGGGAGGCAUCAGUGGGGAAUAUUGGACAAUGGGGGCAACCCUGAUCCACCAAUGCCGCGUGAUG